CGUAGGUGACGAGCGUUAUCCGGAAUAUUGGGCGUAAAGCGCACGCAAGCGGUUGUUCAAGUCUGACGUGAAAUCUCUUGGCUUAACUGGGAGCGGUCGUUGGAAACUGUUCAGCUUGAGGCGAUGAGAGGGGUGCAGAAUUCCCGGUGUAGUGGUGGAAUGCGUAGAUAUCGGGGGGAAUACCUGUGGCGAAAGCGGCACCCUGGCGUCGUUCUGACGCUCAUGUGCGAAAGCGUGGGGAGCGAACGGGAUUAGAUACCCCGGUAGUCCACGCUGUAAACGAUGAACACUAGGUGUGGGUGGUGUCAAAACUAUCCGUGCCAAAGCCAACGCGUUAAGUGUUCCGCCUGGGAAGUACGGCCGCAAGGCUA
rnacentral:rRNA from 1 species